rnacentral:rRNA from 1 species
ACGGCUUAAGGUAGCGUAAUAAUUAGUUUAAUAAUUUUAUUCAAGUAUGAAGAAUAAACUAUGAACUUAUUUCUUCGAAUUUUUGUUGAAUUUUAAUUUUCAUUGAAAAUGAUGAAAUAAUUUAAAAAGACGAUAAGACCCUAGAAUCUUUACUAAGUUUUAUUGGGAUAAUAAAUUUUUUUAAUAAAAAUCUUAUAAAAUAAUAAUAAUGAACCAUAAUAACGUUUCAAGAAGAAGAUACUCUAGGGAUAACAGCAUAAGUUUAUUUUAGAGUCCCUAUCGAAAAUAAUAUUAUGACCUCGAUGUUGAAUUAAAGUCUUUCAAUCGUAGCCGAUUAGAACUAUUAAGUCUGUUCGACUUGUUAACUUUACAUGAUUUGAGUUAAGAUCGACGUAAGCCAGAUGGUUUUC